rnacentral:rRNA from 1 species
CUGGUUGAUCCUGCCAGUAGUCAUAUGCUUGUCUUAAAGAUUAAGCCAUGCAGGUGUAAGAUCAUAUCUAUGAAUGGUGAAUCCGCGAAUGGCUCAUUAAAUCAGUUAUAAUUUAAUAGGAUGUGAUUCGUUAAUUGGAUAACUGUGGUAAUUCUAGAGCUAAUACAUGCAUAUACGGCUGAACUUUGUUUGGCUGUGCUUUUAUUAGUGCAAGCCAGGCCCUCGGGCUGCAAAAUGGUGACUCUGGAUAACUUUGCUGAGCAUUUGGACCUUGUGUCAGUGCUAUUCCUUUAAAGUAUCUGCUCUAUCAACUGUCGAUGGUAUAUUAUAUGUUUACCAUGGUUGUAACGGGUAACGGGGAAUUAGGGUUCGAUUCCGGAGAGGGAGCCUGAGAAACGGCUACCACAUCUAAGGAAGGCAGCAGGCGCGCAAAUUACCCAAUCCCGGCUCGGGGAGGUAGUGACAAAAAAUAACAAUGCGGGACUCUUAUGAGGCUUCGUAAUUGGAAUGAGUACAUUCUAAAUCCUUUAACGAGGAACUAUUGGAGGGCAAGUCUGGUGCCAGCAGCCGCGGUAAUUCCAGCUCCAAUAGCGUAUAUUAAAGUUGUUGCGUCUAAAAAGCUCGUAGUUUGAAAACUUGCCUUGGCUUACAACAGACGUCUAAGGGCGUCACCGUUUGUCGAGAGCAAAUAUGGGUGACUGUUCUUGCCUUCUUCACUGAUUGGCUCGUAAAAGUCAUCGGAGAUCACUUUGAUUAAAUUAGGGUGCUCAAAGCAAGUGUGCUACUUGAAUAUGAAUGCAUGGAAUGAUGGAAUAUGUUGUUGUUCUAUUUGUUGGUUUUUUGAAUGACGAAAUGAUUGAAAGGAACUGUUGGGGGCAUUCGUAUUGUUGUGAGAGAGGUGAAAUUCUUAGACCAUAGCAAGACGAACUACUGCGAAAGCAUUUGCCAAGAAUGUUUUCAUUGAUCAAGAACGAAAGUUAGAGGUUCGAAGGCGAUCAGAUACCGCCCUAGUUCUAACCAUAAACUAUGCCGACUAGCAAUUUGCUUUGUAUUUUUAUGACUAAGUGAGAGGCCACGGGAAACCAAAGUAGGGUUAUGGGGGAAGUAUGGUUGCAAAGCUGAAACUUAAAGGAAUUGACGGAAGGGCACCACCAGGAGUGGAGCCUGCGGCUUAAUUUGACCCAACACGGGAAAACUUACCUGGUCCUGACACUAGAAGGAUUGACAGAUUGAUAGCUCUUUCUUGAUUUGGUGGAUGGUGGUGCAUGGCCGUUCUUAGUUGGUGGAGUGAUUUGUCUGGUUAAUUCCGAUAACGAACGAGACUCUAGCCUAUUAAAUAAUAUGCGGAAUCAAUUG